GUGUGAGAUGAUGGCAUACCAUCUUUCGGGACUGACAUGUUAUGGAGAUGACUUUUUUUUUAACUGAUCACAC